GACGGAAGGUGCAAGCGUUGCUCGGAAUCACUGGGCGUAAAGGGUGCGUAGGCGGCCGUGCAAGUCUGGCGUGAAAGCCCCGGGCUCAGCCCGGGAAGUGCGCUCGAAACUGCGCGGCUCGAGUGCCGGAGGGGAGAGUGGAAUUCCUGGUGUAGCGGUGAAAUGCGUAGAUAUCUGGAGGAACACCGGUGGAGAAGGCGGCAUCCUGGACCGGCAUUGACGCUAAAGCGCGAAAGCCAGGGGAGCAAACGGG
rnacentral:rRNA from 1 species